GUGCUUGCUUCAGCAACAUAUAUACAAAAAUGGAACAAUACAAUUGAUUAACAUGGCCCAAGCACAAGGAUGAUAUUCAAAUUAUGAAGCAUUCCAUAUUUGU